AUUGAACGCUGGCGGAAGGUUUAACACAGGCAAGUCGAGCGGAUGAAGGGAGCUUGCUCCUGGAUUCAGCGGCGGACGGGUGAGUAAUGCCUAGGAAUCUGCCUGGUAGUGGGGGAUAACGUCCGGAAACGGGCGCUAAUACCGCAUACGUCCUGAGGGAGAAAGUGGGGGAUCUUCGGACCUCACGCUAUCAGAUGAGCCUAGGUCGGAUUAGCUAGUUGGUGGGGUAAAGGCCUACCUAGGCGACGAUCCGUAACUGGUCUGAGAGGAUGAUCAGUCACACGAGAACUGGGACGCGGUCCAUACUCCUACGAGAGGCAGCAGUGGGGAAUGUUGGACAGUGGUCGAAAGCCUGAUCCAACCAUGCCGCGUGUGUGAAGAAGGUCUUCGGAGUGUAAAGCACUUUAAGUUGGGAGGAAGGGCAGUAAGUUAAUACCUUGCUGUUUUGACGUUACCAACAGAAUAAGCACCGGCUAACUUCGUG
rnacentral:rRNA from 1 species